CUAAGGAUGGUUCUUCAGCGAGCUCACGCUCACUAUCGAACCGUUUUAGAAACAUUCAGGGGCCAACAGUUUCAGGAUUGUUGAGCUCCAUUGGCGGGAUUUCGCCGUCUACGUUUCUCUUUCUUCGCGGACGAACACGCGCCAGGGGCUGAGCGCUUGAGCGAUGCGUCGGCGAGAGCCGAUCGCGCGCCAGUGUGCCUCUCGUGUUAGGGGCUUGUAGCUCAGUUGGUUAGAGCGCGCGCUUGAUAAGCGUGAGGUCGGAAGUUCAAGUCUUCCCAGGCCCACCAGCCUUCGCGCUUCGCUGCUUCGGCUAGGCAGGCCCUUCGAAACGAAGGCUGCUGCGCCGUAGCCUUGGCGAAGGCGAGCGGCAUCAACAAUGCGCUUCGUCUUCUGGUACGGGGCCAUAGCUCAGCUGGGAGAGCGCGUGCUUUGCAAGCAUGAGGUCGUCGGUUCGAUCCCGUCUGGCUCCACCAGAUGGAAUCGAAGAUCGAGCAUGCCUCGACCAAAUCGUCCGCGAAACAUCACUUCGCAUGCGUGAGCCUGGAUAGGCUGCGACAUGCGUGUUUUCUGACAUCGUAAAGAGGAGAUCGAUCCGAGUUGGAUCGUGCAGCAAGUGCUGCGCGAGCCUUCAUUAUCUCCGGAUCAUUUCGGCGCUCGCUUUCAGCCGUGAGGUUGAAUGCGGGUUGUAAAUGAUCCUUUCAGCGAAGCUUGACCGCCUCGCUGUCGGAACGAUCUUACGAAGCAAGCUGGUCUUUCUAGUCAAUGUCCGGCUGCGACAAUCGCAUUCAUCGAGGAUGCGUGCCUUUAAUGGCAGUUGCGCAGACAACAUUCUGCCGAGUGUGUGGACAUUGAUAAUGAGAGC
rnacentral:tRNA from 1 species